rnacentral:lncRNA from 10 species
CCUGCCUCAGCCUCCCGAGGAGCUGCAACUACAGGCGCCCACCACCAUGCCUGGCUAAUUUUUUGUAUUUUUAGUAGAGACGGGGUUUCACCGUGUUAGCCAGGAUGGUUUGAACUCCUGAUCUGAAGUGAUCCGCCCGCCUCGGCCUCCCAAAGUUCUGGGAUUACAGGAGUGAGCCACCGCGCCCGGCCCUUUUUUUUUUUUGUGACGGAGUCUCGCUCUGUCGCCCAGGCUGGAGUGCAGUGGCGCAAUCCCAGCUCACUGCAAGCUCCGCCUCCCGGGUUCACGCUGUUUUCCUGCCUCAGCCUCCAGAGUAGCUGGGACUACAGGUGCCCGCUACCAUGCCUGGCUAAUUUUUUUGCAUUUUCGUAGAGACGGGGUUUCACUGUGUUAGCCAGGAUGGUCUUGAUCUCCUGACCUCGUGAUCCGCCUGCCUUGGCCUCCCAAAGUGUUGGGAUUACAGGUGUGAGCCACCGCGCCCGGUCGAGUUUUCUUCUUUAAUCUGGUGUUGAUCCUGAGAGUGCUUUGUUAAAAAACAUUCUCCAUGCUGACCUCCGUUUUCGAGUCCGCUUCCUGGGGAAACCUGAAACAGGACUUGAUGCUAGCAGCUGCCCAGAAGAACCAGAUGGGCCACUGUCCUUGCCAGAAGAUCUGAUAUCCUGUGUAUGGCCACCACCUAACACUGCUCACUUCUACAUGUAAACCUCAGGUAGCUGUAUAACAUUUCACAAGAUGAAUGUACCACAAAUUUUAAUCCUUCUAUUGUUGAUGGAUUUGGAUUAUUACCAACUUUUGGCCUUUGAGCCAGUCUAGGAUUCACGAUGUAACCAUGGAGCAGAUGCUUUGAGGUGAAUGACAUUUCCAGCAUUGAAGGACAGCAUAGACACGGAAAUACAUUUUAUGGCGUGCCAGUGGGUGUGGUGGGUCUCAGGGAUGCAAGGUGGGUGAGACUCCCUGUCUGUUCCUGAGGAGCUCUGGUGAGUGGGAAGGAGAAGGGAACACUCGAAGAGCAUGGCAGCCUUAAAGAGGCAGUGGGCUGAGGAGGCUCGCUCUGUGUUCAGAAAUUGGAACAGGGUUGUAGAAAGGAUGCUGUGUGGCUGUUAAAGUAAACUCCACCCAUUUUAGAAUUUUCCUUGGAAGCGGCCUCAAUGUCUAGAAAAGAGUGGGAAAAAUCUUUCCCCUUUUCAAAUUUGUUCUUUUUUGAGCCAUGCAACUUUAAUUCUAAGAAUAAAACAUUCAUGCUUCUAGUUGUAGUUUCCUUGGACAGCUAAACUGUGGAUAAAAUAGGAAUUUGGGUGCUAACCCCAAAAUCUAAAUGCUACUGAAGGGGCUGUUAUCUCUGCA